rnacentral:rRNA from 1 species
UACAUGGGGUGCAAACGUUGCUCGGAAUUAUUGGGCGUAAAGCGCGCGUAGGCGGUUACUCAAGUCGGAUGUGAAAGCCCUCGGCUUAACUGAGGAAGUGCACCCGAAACUGAGUAGCUAGAGUACUAAAGAGGGUCGCGGAAUUCCCGGUGUAGAGGUGAAAUUCGUAGAUAUUCGGAAGAACACCAGUGGCGAAGGCGACUCGCUGGACAAGUAUUGACGCUGAGGUGCGAAAGCGUGGGGAGCAAACAGG